rnacentral:lncRNA from 10 species
AUUAAGAUGCUGAAAUGUAACUUGAGGGCAAUAAGAAAACUGUUGAGGAAUUUGCCACAGGAAUGAAACACUGAUAUUUUAGGAAAAUUAUAGUGAUGGCCACUGGAGGAUGGAUUAGAGAGGAUGAGUCUGUUGGCUGGAAGACCAACUGGAACAUAUUGCCCUGGCUUCUGAUUUCAUGACAAAUUGGCAUGGUAAUACUUAAUACUUAACAGUUGCAGAAAAAUAGAAAGAUCUAAAUGGAGGACUUACAAAAUAUGGAGCUCUUAAAUAACGGACUUGAAAUUGAGAAUUAUUACAAGCCAUUAAUCAUUAUAGAUCUCCCCGGAAAUGAAUGAAUGAGAAUUUAUCAUUGCUCUUAUUAGGUACGUGCCUCCAAUACUUCUUCAGGAGGAUUUUCUGAAGCCCCAGUGGCUGCUGUUGUUUGAGUUUGGUUUGGAGCAAAACUGAGGUAGUCCUAACAUUUCUGGGACUGAAUCCAGGCAAGAGAAAGAAGAAAAAGAAGAAGAAAAAGAGGAGGAAAAAGGUAGGGAGAAAUAAAGGGAGGAGAGAAGCACAGUGAAAGAAAAAAAAAGUCCCUUUUCGACAUCACAUUCCUGUGUUUUCCCUCAGCCUGGAAAACAUAUUAAUCCCAGUGCUUUUACGCCCGGAAACAAAGAGACUAAGCCAGACUAUGGGGGAAAG